rnacentral:lncRNA from 10 species
GUGACCACCCGGAACUGGCGCUGGCCCGAGCGCUGCGCGCAGCCCCGGUUCCCGCCUGCGUCUCUCCCGCCACACCUCCCCUCAAGCAGAGGGAGCCGGUUCCGACCUAGGCCUGCCCAGAGAGGGGCCCCUUCAGCGCAGUGGUGGGCUGAAGAGCUCCUUGAGCAUGGCCAGAGUGAACGCCCAUGCCGAGGAGGCGCUGAGAGCGAGGGAGGGCUGCUAGCACGUUGUCACCUCUCAGAAGGACAUGAGGAAAAUAUCUUCCUACAAUGCCCCAUGUUCCAUCUCUGUUGAUGUUUGGUUGGAGUAAUGUAGAUGGUCACCAAAUAUGUUGCACUAUUGAUUUUCAACGGAAGAGCUCCACAGUGCUAUUAUCGAUCCAACAAAAAGGUGGAGUCACAGAGCUAUCUGCUGCUCCUAAUAUUGGAGAGCCCAACAGGUGAACGCAGAGAACUGCAGCUUGCUGGAGCGGAAACCCACAAGCAAAAGCAACACGGGGAACCAACAUUGAGCUUUUCUACAGCAAAGGAUCGUUGAAAGUUUUAUAGGCCAGGCACUGUGGCUUAUGCCUGUGAUACCAGCGCUCUGGGAGGCCAAAGCAGGAGGAUCGCUUGACCCCGGGAGUUGGUGACCAGCCUAGGCAACAAGUUACAUCAACAGCUGCCAAGUGUCUUCCACCAAUCAACCUUGACCUACAAUUAGAACUCUUCAGUUUUGUAGUGGAAAAAUAAGGACAUUCAAAUUUCAGAAUACAUCCUUCGAAGAAUAGGAUGUGCCAGGAUCAAUUGCUAAGCUGAAAAGCUAGCAGUGACCAAAGAACACCAACAAAGAAACCCAGCCUCCAAAAGAGAAAAGUCAUUCUGACAUAACAGCUACAGAACUGACAAGUGUUAAGGACAAACAUAUUAAAAUUUUUAUGCUUUCAGAGUCU